rnacentral:tRNA from 1 species
CAUUGGGAUGCUAAAAUGGAUAGCGUUGACCUUUUAAGUCAAAACUUGGUGAUUACCAACCACCCCUAAUGG